GGAGAUUAGGGGUCGUGUUUGAGAGCUGGAAGAUUGUGAGACUGAAAGAUUGAGAUUAAGGUUUAGCGUUUUUCUUCUUUAUGAUUAGUUUUUUCCUUCUCUUGUUUGUAUUUUACUUUAUUAUUAAUUUAUAGCUUUAGUUUUACUUAAUUUUAUUUUUUCAAUUAAGUUCUAAUUUAAUUUGAUUUUAUUAUGAUAUAAUUUUGUUUUUAUUUUACCAAUUAAAUUUUAAUUUUGUUUUAGUUUAGUUUUAUUAAUUUAGUGAAAU
rnacentral:lncRNA from 1 species